rnacentral:snRNA from 1 species
AUACUUACCUGGCAGGGGAGAUACCAUGAUCAUGAAGGUGGUUUUCCCAGGGCGAGGCUUGUCCAUUGCACUGCAGAUGUGCUGACCUCUGCGAUUAAAAAAAAAAAAAAUACAAUGGUACCAGGGUUCACAAAAUUAAUUCUUUUCACAAUUCUGGGGAAGAUGGCCACAUUCUUGUUCAUGC